GACAGAGGAUGCAAGCGUUAUCCGGAAUGAUUGGGCGUAAAGCGUCUGUAGGUGGCUUUUUAAGUUCGCCGUCAAAUCCCAGGGCUCAACCCUGGACAGGUGGUGGAAACUACCAAGCUAGAGUACGGUAGGGGCAGAGGGAAUUUCCGGUGGAGCGAUGAAAUGCGUUGAGAUCGGAAGGAACACCCAAGGCGAAAGCACUCUGCUGGGCCGACACUGACACUGAGAGACGAAAGCUAGGGGAGCAAAUGGG
rnacentral:rRNA from 1 species